ensembl:lncRNA
CGGCGCGGCAGAAGCCGCCGCUCCCUGCGCGUCCCGCGGCGGUGCGGACGCCUCCUCCGGGACGGGGCUGCCCGAUCGCUCUCCGGUCCCUGCGCUCCGGCGCUGCCGCUCCCGCGCCGACGAAAGGCGGGGGAUUUCCGUUCUCCCGGCCCCGGUGGGGGAACGCGACCUGUUCGCCGGCACGCGUGGAGCCGUCCCGGGGCAGGAGAAGACAGCAAGAUCCCUUUCCAAGGAGAUUGGCACAGGUUUAUACACCUGGUCACAGGCACCUGGCACCCCUCUAACACUGCUCCCACCACUGGACAGAAGAGGCAAAAAUGGGGCUGUGAAAGUGUUCUGAUGACAUCAGUAUGCUUCCCUGGCAACAAAUACUAUAUCCUACCUACUCGUUCAUCAGUACAAUUGGGUAAAAACAGAAAAUGUGGAAAGGAGUAUGGGUGAGUACUAAAAGCUACUCCUUGAAGAGCUCCAGUGAUUCCUCAAGCAAGGUUCAGUAUUACUUCCACAUUCCCCUUGACCUCUUCAGCAACACUGAAGUACAGAGAUCUCAAUUGCUGAAUAUCAGUGGUACAAGACAGGGAUACUUCCUGCUGAACCAUACGAUGAUACUCCAAACAAGGUAGGAAACAGCCGUUUUUCAGGUUUUGCAUCUAGUCUUGUGUUCAUUCUUCUCACUUCAGACACUUAUCUAUGGUCUGCUGCGUCUAAGACAGAAACCCUCCUCAGCCAAGAAGAACAGGUGAAAUAAAAACAUUAAUGCAGGACAACACCAUCAGUGGCUUCUCACUGGUGACUUUUUUUUUUUUAAACAGGAAUCUAUAACUAGAUUUAAUGAGAUUAGGAACCCCAAACAGGACUCCAUUGAAAGUGGGCUUAGGAGAAGAAUCCUCUCUCUGAUGCUCUGAAACACUGCAAAUGGGAGUUUUCUAGCAUAAUCAAAAUCAUCUAACAAGCCAAGAAGUGCAAAACAUAUCUUUCCACAGAGUUCUCCAUAGCAAGUUUAAAGCCUUAAUUUUUGACCUUUAAAGCACUAUGUGGUCUCUCUCUCUCUUUUUUUUUUUUUUUAAAUAAAUACAAAUUAGAUAGCUACAGUAUUGAAGUUCUUUACAAAAAUCCCACUGGGUAUCUAUCUUUGAAAAUCUGGCACUAACCAAGUUUUGAGCUAAAUCCUAAGUGGCCUAGAUCCCAACCUCAGAGGAGGUUAGGCUAGCACAGAAUCCUAACCACAAAAGCAUGAGGGCAGUAAGCCAACAAUGCCAGUUUAAGCACUGCUGGCAGGACUGUGUCCCCUUACACAUCUCCCCUCUGAGCCUCAUGGCUCAGAGUGAGGCCACAAGAGUGGCAGCAGGUCUGUCUUGUCCAGUUACAGAUUCUGCACAGCAACUCAGCCAGUGUGUACUCUUGUAUUUGCUGGGCUCAGCCAGGGCUUUAAGACAGGCAGGUUGGAAAGCUAGACAAAUGCCUGCAUUUGAAAAAGGGACAGCACAAAAUGGAAAGCGGCUCCCCUUCUCUAGCCUGGUCCCUAUGUCCCAGGCCAAAUACAAAGCUUGCUUUAGGGCACUAUAUAAAUUGGUAUUAUAAAUUCAGAUGGUGCACCAGGGAGUGCCUCAUUCUGUAUGAUUGGAGUCAUUCUCAGGAGCAGUUCAGGCACUCAGUCUGCCACAUGCGACUGCUGCCCCAAGGGCUGCCAUUACAGAUGCAUUAUUACAAAGCUCCGCAAUAAAGCAUGAACUAAAACAACUUCAUUGAAAUGAAGAUUAAUACAGAACAUGUGUUCACCUCCAUACACUCAGAAGGAACAGUCCAGCAAACACAAGCACCACAGCACUAGAGCUGAUGGGCUAGGGGAGAAAUGCAACUGGCCAACCGUUGCUAUUGCUGAAGGCAAGCAAUACAUUUCCAUAGCAUCUUCUAAGCAUCCACAGAUAGAUUUAACAUAGCAUCUGUGAAGCAGAAAGUGAGGCAAGCAGGACAUGCGGAGUGCUGGAACACACAGGGAAGCAUGCUGUGUCUAAGGCAGAGAACAGAGAGGGAUGCUUCAGACCUACAGAAGUAAUAUCACUGGCUGAAUAGUGAUCCAUGCCUUUAGUUAUCACAGACUUCAGUGGAUAUUGAGGCUUCUCAGCACUUCAAAGUGUCAUAUCCAUGUGAGAGUUACAGGUGAGAAAGAUCAACUAAGGUGAUGGUUUAUCCAUCCCCCUCACAAUCAGAAGAAUUAUUCUAUAUUCGCAUCAUCUAUUUGUUGGUGCUAUUGUUGCCUGACAAACUCUCCCAUACAAUUCACAACAUUCCUUUUCUGAUGCCAACAGAGCCUCGGAUUUCACUACUGGCAUGAACUCUGGGACAUUAUAUCUACAUAUUUCCCAGAUCAAAUUAAACUCAUGAUAUUC